UACGUAGGGUGCGAGCGUUGUCCGGAAUUAUUGGGCGUAAAGAGCGCGCAGGCGGUCUAUCAAGUCAGAUGUGAAAUAUCCGGGCUUAACCCGGAGGGGUCAUUUGAAACUGGUAGACUAGAGUACAGCAGAGGAUAGCGGAAUUCCCGGUGUAGUGGUGAAAUGCGUAGAUAUCGGGAGGAACACCAGUGGCGAAGGCGGCUAUCUGGGCUGAAACUGACGCUGAGGCGCGAAGGCUAGGGGAGCAAACAGG
rnacentral:rRNA from 1 species